GAAUAAAGUAGACGGCACGCGUCAAAAUGAUUGAUUGAUGACCUUACGUCAUUUUGACCUUUGCGUGUCCGAAUAUGUGCCCCCUCCCCGUCCCCCCUGUUCCCGUGGUCACGUGUUAUUUUGUGUUAUUUCAGAUCUCUAUGUCAUCCUUUGAAGUAGUCCAGUUGAUGGAUGUCUAGGGGCCUGGUUGAACUGUGGUUGUUGUGUUUGAACUUUUGGACCGGGUAUGACCCCCCCAGUUUUAUUGCCCUUAUGUUUGUUAUCUAUGGAGCAGGAAUGUGUGUCUGUAUGUGUGUGUGUGUGUUAGAAACAAGGUCCCUUGGCAUUGUGUCCAUUUCAGGCUUUAAACAACAAUUAAACAGCCAUCUAAAUAAUGUUUCUCAGCCUAGUUUCCUAUUUAGUUCUCUUUAUAUGUACAGGCACAGAGCUUCAAGAUGGCUCCAGCCUAAGGAUUUUCAGUGCAUGUACACCUGGGGAGAUUAGAACCCCAAAGAAAAGAUCCUAAAGGUAAUUUCAGGUUUAUCAUGACAGCCACUUUAUGAAAGGCCUUUACUUAUGGCUAAACAGCUUCUGCACAGCUUAUUAAUUAAGGCUGUGGGAUGAAAUGAGGUGUUUCUAGGAGGGCUUAAACAAAUCUACAGUGAAACAAACAUGUACACUUUACACACAUAUUUAUUGACUUUUAAAAAUACCACAGUAACAUGACAGAAUUUGUGCAAACGCAACGAAAUCUGCUAGGGGAUAUUAAAUGUACAACAGUAGUAUUCUGUAACAAGCAAUACGUGUUAAACAUGUGGCACAGGCAAUCAUGACAGCCUCUUUAUGAAAGGCCUUUAAUUAUGUGUUUCUAGGAGGGCUUAAACAAAUCUACAGUGAAACAAACAUAUACACUUUACACACAUAUUUACUGACAUUUAAAAAGACCACAGUAACAUGACCGAAUUUGUGCAAAUGCGACGAAAUCUGCUAGUGGAUAUUAAAUGUACAACAGUAGUAUUAGGUAACAAGCAAUACGUGUUAAACAUGUGGCACAGGCAAUCAUGACAGCCUCUUUAUGAAAGGCCUUUAAUUAGGUGUUUCUAGGAGGGCUUAAACAAAUCUACAGUGAAACAAACAUAUACACUUUACACACAUAUUUACUGACAUUUAAAAAGACCACAGUAACAUGACCGAAUUUGUGCAAAUGCGACGAAAUCUGCUAGUGGAUAUUAAAUGUACAACAGUAGUAUUAGGUAACAAGCAAUACGUGUGGCACAGGCAAUCAUGACAGACUCUUUAUGAAAGGCCUUUAACUAUGGCUAAACAGUUUUCUACACAUCUUAUUCAUUAAUGAUGUGGGCAUACCCAGGAUUUACAGGCAGGAACGGUUGAUCUACACAUGGAGGGAAAACUUACGGAGUUUUGAUGGAGCGGACAAGCGUCUUUGAGUUGAUGAAUUUGAAAUGGAUAAUGGUCGUGGCUAACCGGACCAUCUAUCUGUAAGAGAAAUAGUAAACAUUUUGGAAUUAUAACAUGUGUUAAAAUGUAUGUACUAAAUAUUAUGAAUUAAAUCACUGGUUUUAAAAAUGUAUCUCACGAUUUAACGAUAGGGGAAGAGGUAAUUUCAUAUUUCGGCCAACACAUCAAGAGCUAACAGGGGUGAGUGGGGAUUCAUAGUACAACAGGAGGCUUCGGUAACCUGCAAUACGGGUUAAAUAUGUUUUACAUACAUCCACGACUGAAUGGUUUCACAAACUACAUUUAAAGGUUUUGUCAGAAAGCUGUAACAGGCCUCAUUCACCAGUCUAGAGAUGAACCUAGAGACACCAAAAACAUCGCCGCUUAGAGCAGCUUGGAGAUUAUUACCCAUGAAAGGGGGGAGCAAAAGAGUGGAUUUAACCAACUCUGUACAAACCCCGACACGUGGUAUGAUAACUCUGACGCGUACGUCUAAUGAUUAUUGUAGAUGUUUACAACUGAGGGAGUUGACAGUAGGUCAAUGAGAUGUAUAAAGGCAAAUUGACAUAACGGACCUCAAAGACCAACAGCCUACUUUAUAAUAUAGAAUGCAGGGGUGUGUACUGAACAUGUAACCAUUAUAAAACAAAACAUGUCUCGAAACACCUCCUAGUUAGGGACAGAACGCGGAGCAUAUACUUUAACACUAUGUUACCACAGCUUUAGCGCAAACCCACAGCCCCGAAUAUUUAGCUGCCAGGACAGAUUAAAAAAGAGAUGUGAAUAAGUGAAUCCCUCCUAAUAGAUAUUUCUGAAGGCUACUGGACAUAGGUGAUUGGGAAGCGACUGAUAGACGUAGAUUCUCAGAAGCAAUUUAUAGUAUUUCCUACAAUGGUAUGUUAUAAAGUUUGUAAUAAUGUACAACUGUAGGCCUCCAAUGUUUUUACAUAAAAAGACUAAUGAUGCAUGUUUAAAUAAUAGUACAAUUUGUUAAUUAAUUCUAACAUGUCUUUAAAAAGUUAGUACUAUAUAUUUUGGUAUUAAAUCAAUGGUUUUAAAAAAGUAUCUCACCCUUUAACGAAGGGAAAAUGUCCUUUCCAGCCAUCAACCCCGUCUGUCACGAAGAAAAAAGACACAGAAAAUCCGGGUGCAUGCGUGAGUGUGCAGGCCUCCAAUGUUUUUACAUAAAACACGCGUGAUGCAUGUUUAAAUAUUAUUCAAAUGUUGUUACUUAAUUCAAACAUGUCUUAAAGGUUGUACGAAAUAUUUUGGAAUUCAAUAAAAGGAGUUUUAAAAACGGUAUCUCACCCGUAACUAUGUGAAACGGUAUUUCACAUCUUCAGCCAACUCUGUCGCGAAGAAAAAGACAUUGAAAAUCAGGGUGCGUGCAUGAGUGUGCGUGUGACGGAGCAGCAGGAGUGUGUGUGUGUGCGUUUCAAAAAACAAAGGGGUUGUUUGUGUGGGUUCAACAUGGGGUCCCAUCUGUAGAGAAUCGUUUGAAAUUCAAAGUUUGAACUAUCCAGCAUAUGACAUGUCAUGGUAUCGGCCGACCGCCCGGGGUUAAACCUGGAUAUCUAAUCAACGCCCCCCAGGACCCCCCAAACAAAAAGCAUGACAGAACGGCUCUUUGAAUUCACAGCCUUUUGGUCUAAAGCAAACAUACAGUUAGUUGGUUGCAUACAGGCUAUCUCUCGAAACUCAUUCCGUACUUUAACAAGUUAGGGACAGAACGUCUAUUUUUAACACGUUUAGCACGGCUUUAGCGCAAACCCAAAGGCCCGAAUAUUUAACUGCCAGGACAGAUAGCAUAGUCUGUAAAGCCCUCCUAAUGGAUAUUUCUGAAGGCUACUGGACAUAAGUGAUUGGGAAGCGACUGUUAGACGUAGAUUCUCAGAAGCAAACGGCGCCCUGUCCUUUACGUAGCCCUUCACGAUCACACAUUUUUAGGCGUAAGUCCAAAUAAUCACAUACCCAAGAAUAUUUAUAUAUUAAAAAAAGAAAAGUGUGCACUCUGAACGACGUCGUAAGACAACAGGCAGCAGUCCCAGGACAGAUAACAGAGUAUGUGAAGCCCUCCUAAUGGAUAUUUCGGGAGCUGAGUAUGAUGGACAUCGGACACAUAGGGUGACUGGGAUGCAUUAGGGACUCUGAACGAUAUCGGAGGAACCGAUGAAACAGACAGUAUUCGGUCUUUUUGUAUGAACGUUUUUCCAAACACUCCAAGAACAGAGAAUUUAAACGUCCCGACAACAACCCAGGGAACCACCACCCCCACACAACAUAGUCCAGACCCCAACAACAAAAGCACAACGGUGGCCCAAGUGCAUUGCGCAGAAUCACCAGAGGUAUUAAUUCUAGGCAUUUACAUGUAUGUUUUUAAAAAUGAAGACUAUUUAUACAAUGAAACAAUGUUUUUUUAUUCACACUGUGUGUAAACAAUAACUUUUGCCCUCUUAGGGUCUACUUGACCUGCUUAUUGAUUAGAAAGUAUGAUUAGAAACCAAGGCUGUGGAAUAUAUUAGCUCUCACAGGCUAUGAAAAAGACAAAAGCUAGGACAUUGACUCCGGAGUGUUGAACUUAUGCCCACUCUACAACAACCCCGGUUGUUAUAUGACCCCUGAGGAUCAUCUACGAACGUUGGAACAUCUACAACUAUUGAAGAUGCAAAAAGGGGUUUUCAGAAACACAUUUGGUUUACAGAUAUGUAUUAUUCUAAAAAUAAUAUAACAUUAUUAUCAUAAUCUAAAACACUUUAAAGGAUCUCUAAUUCAAACAUGCAAGGAUAUAUAUAUAUAUAUAUGAUACGAUUAACCACUUUAAAACUGUUGCUGCAAUAUCACUUCUCAAUGUGUGUACAUUUCAAGCUUUCAACAACAAUAAACAAACCAGCUCAAUAAUGUUUCUCAGACUUACAAACUGUUGAGUUUUCCUAGUUAGUAAAGAAACAACCACUAAGCCAAAACCCCAAAAGUUGUAAUAUAAUCUGUAUACAAGUCAUUCUAUACAGAAAACAGGUACAUUUUGAUUGAUCAAGAAUUCCCAAUAGGUUUGUGUCACGCCCUGACCAUAGUUUGCUAUGUAUGUUUAUAGGUUUUGUUUGGUAUGGGUGUGAUAUGAGUGGGCAUUCUAUGAUGUAUGUCUAGUUUGUCUUUUUUCAGUGUUUGGCCGGAUAUUUUUUUCAAUCAGAGGCCUGUGUUAGUCGUUGUCUCUGAUUGGGAACCAUAUUUAGGUAGCCUGUGUUGUCAUUGUUGGGUGAUUGUCUAUGUUAGGUGCUUGUGUCAGCACAUUGGGUAUAUAGCGUCACGGUCGUUGUUCAUUUAUUGGCUUGUUCAGUUUACUUUGUGUUUUCGUCAUCCAUUAAAACGAUGCAUUCACACCA